rfam:Chlorocebus sabaeus isolate 1994-021 chromosome 27, whole genome shotgun sequence.
GAUCCUGAGGGCGAUCUGGCUGCAACAUUGAUUGCUAGGGUCGAUUCGGCUGAUCUUGCUGGCCAGACUGCCUCACUGCUUCACGUGCGUCCCUCCCAAAGCUGCACGCUGCGUCGACCAUCCCUGACAGAGGCGGACCAGUCUUCGGUCAAGGGUAUAUGAGUAGCUGCACUCCCCUGCUAGUACCUCCAAACAAGCUCUCAAGAUCCAAAUGACACUGGGGAUUAGGGUUUCAACACAGGAAUUUGGGGUGCCCAGUGCAACCCAUAAGCUAUGGCCUCCCGUGGGAU